UACGUAGGGUGCAAGCGUUGUCCGGAUUUAUUGGGCGUAAAGAGCUCGUAGGCGGUUUGUCGCGUCGGAUGUGAAAACCCAGGGCUCAACCUGGGAAUGGCAGUGGAUACUGGCAAGCUAGAGUGCGGUAGAGGGGUGUGGAAUUCCCGGUGUAGCGGUGAAAUGCGUAGAGAUCGGGAGGAACACCAGUGGCGAAGGCGGCACCCUGGACCAGCACUGACACUGAGGCACGAAAGCGUGGGGAGCAAACAGG
rnacentral:rRNA from 1 species